rnacentral:rRNA from 1 species
AUUGAACGCUGGCGGCGUGCCUAAUACAUGCAAGUCGAACGCAGUGGGGACGGGUGAGUAACACGUGGGUAACCUCCCAUCAGAGGGGAUAACACUUGGAAACAGGUGCUAAACCGAUACUGAUGGAUGGACCCGCGGUGCAUUAGCUAGUUGGUGUGGUAACGGCUCACCAAGGCCACGAUGCAUAGCCGACCGGAGAGGGAGAAAGGCCACACUGGAACAGAGACACAGGACAGAGUCCUACGAGAGGCAGCAGUAGGGAAUGUGCGGCAAUGGAGGAAAGGCUGACAGAGCAACGCCGCGUGAGUGAAGAAGGUAUUCGAAUCGUAAAACUCUGUUGUUAGAGAAGCGGUAUCUAACCAGAAAGCCACGGCUAACUACGUGCCAGCAGCCGCGGUAAUUC